rnacentral:rRNA from 1 species
CACGUAGGAGGCGAGCGUUGUCCGGAAUCAUUGGGCGUAAAGAGCGCGCAGGCGGCUUGGCAAGUCGGGUGUGAAAUCCCGGGGCUCAACCCCGGGACUGCAUUCGAUACUGUCAGGCUAGAGGUAGGUAGGGGAGAUCGGAAUUCCUGGUGUAGCGGUGAAAUGCGCAGAUAUCAGGAGGAACACCGGUGGCGAAGGCGGCCUGCUGGGCAGUUGCUGACACUGAGGCGCGACAGCGUGGGGAGCAAACAGG